AUGGAUCCUGCCGUGAAGAAAUUUCUUGAAGACAACCAAUUGGGCCACUAUGCGGCUAAAUUCGAAGAGGAAGAAGUUAUAUAUGAAGAUUUAUCCAAAUUCAGUCCAGUCAAAGCGAAGGAGCUGAUACCCAAAACAGGGCCAAGAAUCCGGUUCCUUGAAGCAGUCUCAAAAUUAAAGCGCCGAUGCUUAGAAGAUAAUGCUGCCUCAACAUCUACUGAUGGAGUAAGAAUCUUGGAUCAAACAAAUGAUAGCUUUAGUACAGCGGAGACUGAAAACCAAGUUGAAACCAAUGAGAGCAACGAGAACUCGUCUAAAUUGGAAACAGACAAGUCUGCUGCAGAGAUUAUUGGUGUAUCUGCAAAUCUUGGGACCUCUGGGCAAAGUAGUGAAAUAUUAGAGUCAAAAACAAAGGAGCCUGAGGUGGUCUUAAACGUUCAACCUGAAGAAUCAACUCCAGAGGCUUCCAAAAAAAGAAAGGUUGAGGUUGCGGUUGAAUCAGCCGCUCAGCCUUCUGUUGUGGUCACCGUUGAUCCUCCUCUCCUCAGUAGUCUUGUGACAGGGUUAAUUCCACCUUGCUUGAAGGAGUUCAACUUAGAUUUGGCAACAGAUAAAGAAAAAGAAGAGCUGAGAGAUUUCCUUGAAAAUUUGUUAAAAUCGUCAGUUGAAGGGACGUAUGUCCUAAAUGCUCUCCUCAAAGAGCAAGCAAAUGACAAGGUCCGUGACAGCCUUUGUCGCAUUUUACUGAGCUUUGGCGUCAACAACUCCAUUGCAAAAGGACAGAUAAGUCCAAGCAGGUUUAAGUAUCUGGCUCUUUCAGUCAAAGCGCUGUUUCCGACUGAAAGUCCGUUGACGUACUAUGUGCCGCAGGCAGGGAAAAAAUCCCCAAAGGCAAGCUCUACUGGAAAUAUACCACUCAGCGCUCAAAGUUCAGAAACGCAGGACUAG
rnacentral:lncRNA from 1 species